rnacentral:rRNA from 1 species
AUUGAACGCUGGCGGCAUGCUUUACACAUGCAAGUCGAACGGUAACAGGCCGCAAGGUGCUGACGAGUGGCGAACGGGUGAGUAAUGCAUCGGAACGUGCCCAGUCGUGGGGGAUAACGCAGCGGAAGCUGCGCUAAUACCGCAUACGCUCUAUGGAUGAAAGCGGGGGACCGUAAGGCCUCGCGCGAUUGGAGCGGCCGAUGUCAGAUUAGGUAUUUGGAGGGGUAAAGGCUCACCAAGCCAACGAUCUGUAUCUGGUCUGAGAGGACGACCAGCCACAAUGGGACUGAGACACGGCCCAGACUCCUACGGGAGGCAGCGGUGGGGAAUUUUGGACAAUGGGCGCAAGCCUGAUACAGCAAUGCCGCGUGCAGGAAGAAGGCCUUCGGGUUGUAAACUGCUUUUGUACGGAACGAAACGGCUCUGGUUAAUACCUGGGGCUAAUGACGGUACCGUAAGAAUAAGCACCGGCUAACUACGUGCCAGCAGCCGCAGAAACAC